GACUCAACCCAAACUCCCUCCCCCAUUUUCGCGUCGGCUUCCUCGCUCUGCUGCCCAAAAACCCUCGUCCCCUCGACAGGAAUAGAAUCCAAGCCAAAUCAUUCAGAACAAACCUCAUUCCAAGCUACGUUAGAUUCCGGCGUUGGUGCUGCGGUUCCUCGUCGUGCGGAAACCAACAAUGAAGAGACGGAAAACCUCAACUUUCCCGCAGUGCGUUUGGCGGUGUAGAUUUGCAGUCAGCGAAACAUUCUGGUAGCGGCAGACCUUGCAGGAUGGAGGAAUGGCAGUAUUACUUUUUGAUUCCGGUUUUCCAGGCAUAGUUAAUGUACUUGAGGCCGCAAACAAUCUCGAUACGAAGAAGUCUCAUACUCUAGAUCCAUAGUUGGUGCAACCUUGGAGCUCAUAUGAAGAAGAGAGCUGAAUGAAGGAAGCCUUACUCUAGAUCCAUAGUUGGUGCAACCUUGGAGGUCAUCCAGAAGGACGUAGCUGAAAAACCAGAAGCCAGGGGUGCUGCUAGGGAGGCUGCACUCAGGAUCUUUGAGCAGUAGAUCCCUACUUUGGGAAUUAGGCAAUUCUGAACAGUGAAUUGCAAGUAAUGAGGAAUGUAGAUGUCCUCAAUGAGGAAUGCAGGUUUGUAAAGAAAACAUUACCUCAAUGGCGUAAAGGACACAUUCUUGACUCUUAUUCAGAUUUGUAAAGAAAACAUUACCACAAUGGCGUAAAGGACACAUUCUUGACUCUUAUUCAGAUUUGUAAAGAAAACAUUACCUCAAUGGCGUAAAGGACACAUUCUUGACUCUUUAUGGCAGGCACAAUACAUGUUUUUAACCUAAUAGCUUUCUUAUAUGUAGUUGGGCAGAUGUCUUUUCGAAAGAUGCAUAGUGGAGCCAUUUUUUGGUUAUCAGAUGGAUGGCAUAAUCUAAGCUGAGAAGAACAAACACGCUGAGGAUUAAUGCAAAGUGUGAAUUGUUUGUGUAUAGAAGGAUUUAUAGAAGAGGUUGAAGGCUCUAGAGUUCCAAAAAUAAUCAGCUUCCAAGGAUUUAGAGUUCCAAGCAGCACUGGAUACUGAAACGUCCGCCAAACGGUGGCCAGCAAAUUUAAAAUUAUGUGGAACAACUUCCCACAAAAUGGGGAAACCAAAAAGGUGGCUGAGCAUAAAUGUAGUGUUUUUAUGUAUUUAAUUAAUAAUAAUACAAAAUUAAUAAAUAAUCUUUGACUGUAAUCUUCUAUCUUCUAAUGCCAAAACGGCGUAGUAUAGUUUGAGCGGGAAAAUGAAGCCAUUUCAUUGGCCGAAAUCUUAUGGCUUUAAUAUAUAGGAAGAUAUUGUUCAAAAUUCAUCUAUCUUGUUAUUUCAUCUAUCUUCUUCCAA